rnacentral:rRNA from 1 species
AGUCAACAUGCCCAGAGGACGUGGAUAACCUCGGGAAACUGAGGAUAAACCGCGAUAGGCCAUGAUUUCUGGAAUGGUUUAUGGCUGAAAUCUAUAUGGCCUCUGGAUUGGACUGCGGCCGAUCAGGCUGUUGGUGAGGUAAUGGCCCACCAAACCUGUAACCGGUACGGGCUCUGAGAGGAGGAGCCCGGAGAUGGGCACUGAGACAAGGGCCCAGGCCCUAUGGGGCGCAGCAGGCGCGAAAUCUCUGCAAUAGGCGAAAGCUUGACAGGGUUACUCUGAGUGAUUCCCGCUAAGGGGAUCUUUUGGCACCUCUAAAAAUGGUGCAGAAUAAGGGGUGGGCAAGUCUGGUGUCAGCCGCCGCGGUAAUACCAGCACCCCGAGUGGUCGGGACGAUUAUUGGGCCUAAAGCAUCCGUAGCCGGUACUGCAAGUCUUCCGUUAAAUCCACCUGCUCAACAGUUGGGCUGCGGAGGAUACUACAGCGCUAGGAGGCGGGAGAGGCAAGCGGUACUCAGUGGGUAGGGGUAAAAUCCAUUGAUCCAUUGAAGACCACCAGUGGCGAAGGCGGCUUGCCAGAACGCGCUCGACGGUGAGGGAUGAAAGCUGGGGGAGCAAACCGGAUUAGAUACCCGGGUAGUCCCAGCUGUAAACGAUGCAGACUCGGUGAUGGGCUGGCCUUGUGCCAACCCAGUGCCGCAGGGAAGCCGUUAAGUCUGCCGCCUGGGGAGUACGGUCGCAAGACUGAAACUUAA